CUCACGUAACGCGUCAGCGCGCCACGCCGAGACGUGCCACGCCCCCUCCCCGAGGAGCGGCUUCUUAAAGGGGCCGCGAUUGUCAUCAACAGGUUCUGACCCCUCCAGCAGGGCAGCCGUCUAGGAUGGAGGAUUUUCCCCCGUGGCCUUGGCCUCCUUGGGACUGCUCUCCAGGCCAGAAUCGCUGGCCCCAGGCAGCGUGGUGACAGACGUCGUGCUCUUGGUGCUCCUUGUGGAAUCACGCCGGCUACCAAAGAUGGAGACACGUCUCCAGAUGACCCGGAUGUUGAGGCUCUCAGAUGAAUGCACCUCAGAGGUUGGGUCCACGAUCCGCAGUUGCUGCUUGCACCUAGGCCUGAGCUUGCUGUCUGCAAUGGAGGAGCGUAGGCUAUCAGCAUGUUGACCAGACUACACGCCUACCCCAGGCCUCACCCAUCCUUCCUUUUUGUUGGAAUUAUUUAUGCAGGAUAUUGUCAUGACACUGAUUUAACCAUAAAUUCCUUUAUUGAAUCCAAAGGCCAAAUGGUAUUUAUACAAUUGCUCUAAACAUGCCUACAAAGCCUAAAUAAUAAGCAAUUUACCACAUCCAGACAAUAACAAAACAUUUAUAAGCAUUUGAUCAUGAUACUUACAAAUGAGCUAAACCCCAGGGGUACUUAGACCCACAUUGGUUGGCUCCAACGUGGCCAGGCAGUUAUUAGCAAUUAAUUCAUUGAGUUAACUUUUUUCUACCCUUUAACAAAUAAGUGAUGUCUGUGCCAGGUAUUGACUUCAGCUAAAAAAACAAUUGGAGACAGGUCACCCUUAUUCCCAGUCUUAAUCCAGAUAAGAUUACAAGCUUCUUUCUACUCUAGGUCUUUCCUCUCUAUCUGUCCCCUCCUUCCUGCUGUCCAACAGUUUUUCCUUUGGACCGGGGUUCACAUGGGCCCUAAUUUUUGCAAUAACACUGGUGUGUGGGGUGGGAAGGGCCAUGUUGGCUCACUGUAAAACAGAUUUUCUUUGUCUGAUUUAAAACCAUCUGCAGUUACCCGUAUUAGUCCGAGGCCUUCUCUUCAGAAAUGUCUCCUUAUUUCAUUAGUUAUUCUUUGAACCAGAGAUGCUCCCUACUUCAUGCCUUCUGGCCCUAUAACUAAUUACUUUCAAGGCCAUUCUUUACCACACACAUUUCUUCAGCCAAACGUAAGCUAACUUGAAUUCUCUAUUUUUUUUAUUUAUUCUACAUUCCCCACUUCAAAACCCUACAUGCUAUGUGGGUUUUACUCCAUUAAGCAUUUCAAAAUACUUCUACAAUUUUAUACAACUGCCAAGCUUUGCAAUAUAGAAUUAACAGAAUAAUCACCAUAAUAACACUAGUAAUUACCAAAAUAUUAAAUGACCACCAUUACUAUACGGAUGUAGUCCCACAUUAUAAGCUUGCUCUGCCAUUACCAGCAUAGACAGUUUUGCUUCACCAACUUCUCAACAGCAUCUCAGCUGUACUGUGCAAUUUGGAGAUUGCUCCCCCAGAGUGAAUUUACAUGCUGGCAACUGUCAGUAAGACAUGACACCUGCCCAUGUAAGUGUCCUCCAGAUGCAAACAGCAGUCCAGGUCUGGGGCUUUCCAGACCUUGUAAUUGCCAUGCAACACCAUAUGUGUUGUAGAGCUUUCCAGUACUUCCACUGGUAACUCUGGCCAAGGCUUUUUUCCCCCACAAACUUCAUGGUAUUGGACUCUUGUUCCUUUCUUACCCUGCACCAAUGAGGAUUACCUCCCUUGUACCUAACAUUUAGUUUUCUGUGGUCAUAAAAGAGGGCAACCUUCUUUGUUCUGUCAUUUAAGGAUGCUUUUACUUUAUAUAGCAUGUAUUUACAAUGUACUAUGCAUGUUAUUGCUUUUGCUCUUUACCUUUCAUGAUAGCAACUUAAUUUUACCUUGUGCAUUUCCAAAAAACAAAAAUACAUCAUGCUUAUAAAACAAUUCAAUGCUUUUUAUCAAUAAAUUCUUUGCUUUGUUCAUU